UGAAGUCUUUAGCAGGCCCGCCAGGACUUUGCUACUUCUCCGACCUUGAAGGUCUGGGUGGUCGAGUCCCGGAACAGACUGCUGUUGCUUGCUUGUGCCGUGGCCGUGACCGAGACCUGGUCAGGACCCCGAGAUCAUAACCUGAGCUGAAGGCAGCGGCUUAACCCACUGAGCCACCCAGGCACCCCUACAGCAUGAUUCUUGCAGCUAAGACCCUGCUUGGAUAACACAACUCAGCCUGCAGGUCAUCUCCAGCAGGGGACCCAGAGUGAUAACUAUGUUGCUCUGUGACUGUGCAGGGUAACAGCCUGGUAAGUGCAGAUUUAUGAACACAUCCAGCGCAGAGACAUUCCUACCCUCCAUUCCUCCCAUCUGUCACCUGGAACAUCCCUGUGCAGGUUCUAUAAUAAGGCCCAAUGGUCCCCACCUCCUGGUCCACAUGCCCUUAUGGAAUCUCCUCCUACUGAGUAUGGGGUGGGGGUACCUAGAAUAUCUUUUAACCAAAGAAAUCUGUCAGUGGUGACCUUGGAAUAUAAACAAUCAUGAAUUCCAUUUGCCUGCUGAGUUUCUACCAUCUUCUCCACCUGUAAGCUCUGAUGAAGCAAGCAGCUGUGUUGGAAAGACCAGAAACUCAGGCCAGCCUGCUGCCUACAUCCAUCAAGAAGCUGAGGCCCCCAGUCCACCAGCCCACAAAGAACUACUCAGUCCUCCCCAGAGGCCCAUGAGGGAGCUACUGUCAGGAUACCAGGAAGUGCCACCUUCACGUCACUUCUCACCUUGGAGAGCAGGCCUCACCAGGAAGUCAGCUGGAAGAAGACAGGUCACAGAUAGCAGGAUUGGAUCUUUAGGGAGAAGAACCAGAGGAUUUUUUUCCCACCAAAGAGACCUCCUCGGCAGGAACUCUGGUACUCUCUGGAUUUCUUGCAUACCUGCUCCUGGAACCCUCCUACAGGAGCGGGAGAUGUGACCUUAGCUCGAGAUCCUGGAAUCCAGAGGCAACCAUGUGCAUUGUCCCAGGUGGUGUUGGGGCUCUGGGGUCCAGCAGGUCUCCAGCCUCCCACCUUCUCCUAGCCUGCCCUCCCACCAGCCAGGGAUACCACAUCCCGCCCCCAUCCCCAGGAGCCAGUAGCCUCCAUAUCUCUUUCAGAAUAAAUAGGAACACAAGUUUCAGUUGAACCCUUGGGGUGAGACAGGUAUAGAUCAGAAUGAGGAGACUAGAUCUCCUUUCCACCUGAGUUCAUGUUCUUCUAGAACACAACUCUAGCAACUAUAGUUCCAUCAAUAUAAACCCCUGCUAAAACAACCCCAGAGAUCAGAGCAUCAAUGAGCACCUGGCCAGGAAAGCCCCCUUGAGGAGCAUGGUGGGCUGGGCAAAUGGAUCAGAGGUGAAAAGGAAAACAGGGAUACCCUGUGCCCUGCUGGAAGUCUCUAGAAAGCUCCUGGGUCCUUGAUAUGAGGCUCCACUGCUCAUCUCUCCUCCACUCCCCCACUGUCUCAUAGUGAUGGGCCCUGGCAUCCUUUCAUGCUGCACGUGGCACGUGUAUCUCUCAUCUCCAGAAGGCAGCACAAUGGCCACCCACUUCUGGAUGGUUCCAUCCCCUUCUGCCUGGUCUCCACAAGCUCCUUGUUCUAGACCUGGUGCUCCUUGGCCCACUACAGGUCAUAGUCAUCUCUGUAGGGGAGGAGCCCAGGUUGCACAGCCCCUCAGGGUGACCCCACAGUCAGAGAGAGGGUGGCUGGUCACCUGUGUUCUGGGAGGCUCUGUGGAAGAGCAAACAGGGAGCACUAAGACAAAGCCUUCUGGAAAAGCAUCAACUCCACAGACCAAGAUGUAAUACCUGGGGAGGGUCUGGCUGCUUGCCAGGGAGAGGCAGGGAGUGUUCCCUAUAGGGGCAGAAGUAACCGGCACUAGCCAGGCCCGGGGCCCAAGGCAAGAGGGUGAAAACUGCUUCUAACAUUCUCUUCCAAGGGCUGACCCUUUUCAGAGACUCUCCACCCGCUUAUGAAGCCUGGAACUCAGUAUCUCUAGUUCAGUAUUGAUAGGUCCUCACAGCUACUGUGUCUCUGGUUUGAGGAAGAGCCUGAAGAGUGAGAAACCUCCAUGAGCCUCAGAGCUACUACCAUGCUCUCCCGCAAGAACGUUCCCCAGCGUGGGCCUAAGAAGUGUGUGCCAUGGCACUGCCCAGGGGACUCGGGAUGGGCCGCUGUCCUCAGCGCAUGGCCCCCCAUCCCACACUAGAUGUCUUCCACCUCUGUGUGUGAGUAGCUCUGGAGAAAGGGUGGCCCCAGGCUGGACUAGGAAGAGCUUGUAGGGCUGGGCUGUGGGGAGUCCUUACCAGUGCCGCUGAUGUUCUUGUCCUAAACCCCAAGUGUCUCUGCAGCAAUAGGAACCGCGGCUUCUUGAGUCCAUCUUGUCCCUCAAUGAAGUGCCCACUGGCCUUCUGUCUCUGCUGGGGUAGCAGCAACAAAGAGACUACCAUGGAUGGCAGAGGUUCCAUGUUCAAACUCAGUCACUGUCAUGUCCUGGUCAUCCCGUACCACCCCAAGGUCCCAUUAUCCUCCUGGAGCUCCAGCCACAGUGACCUGCAAGGUCAGGGUCCUGCCCAGGACCAGGCAGUGUCAGUCAGGACAGAGCACAUCUCCGGAGCCCCCAGCAUUUGUCUCUGCAUCCCACCCCCACCAGCUUCUCAGUAGGGAACAUUCACUGUGUAGAUUGUGCUAGUUUGACACAGUAAGAAGGAAAUACUUGGUCUUGCUCCUCGGUUCCUGCACAGCUCUUAACACCUCUGUAACAGCCUGAGUGAUGGGAGUCAUAGGAACAGGUCUUCUAAGAGUUUGUUCUCAGAUCCUGAAAAACUGCUGGAAAGAUCCCUGUCCCAUCCUUACACACUGUACCAAACCUCCCCGCAUGCCAUCUCUCUUCUCUGAUUCUGUGAGCCCUGAGAAGGCAGGACUCUGUCGGGACCUGAAACAGAACCAUCUGGCAAACUGGAAUUCAUGUUCCUAUAUGGAUCCGCUGGGAAAGUCUGAGCAGCCUCCCUCUUCAGCUCUAAUUGUGCUUCUUACUGGAUUAUGCCUGGAUGCCACAUGCAGGGUCCUCCACUGACUGAUUCAUAUGCUAAACCCUCCAGAUAUUAACUAGAAAUGAUUAACUACACCUAUCUCCUGACCUCCCUGUGUCCAAUGUCACCCACACCUUGCCCACUCUAACUGCUUGGGACCUCACCCCCACCCCCCCAUAAACCCAGAUCAUGUGUACAAUCUGUACACAUCAGGGUCUACACAGAGUUGCAGCUCAUUCAUGAACUUUCCCCGACCACUGGGGGUCUGGUCUAUGAACCCUAUAAACUGUCUCUGUUUUUCGUGUGACAUCUAUGGAGGCAUCGGUCUUUAGUAGCUCUCAGUCUGCCUCACACAUUCAGUCACGUGAUCUCAGAAGGGUGGGUGCCUCCACAUCUUCACUGUAGGCUCUGUGAGGACAAACACUAGCUUAUACUUUCUGGUUCCUCCCCUACAGGGACCUAAACUGUGUCCAUGACCCACUGAGUCUGUUAGUUAACUACUUAAUGACACAAGGACCUACCCCCCUGAGCAGACUGUCCCUGCUUCACUCUCACAUGACAGCUUGUGCGCACCUGCCUGCUCCAGCCUGACAAGAGGAUCUCACACUCCUGGGGGUCAGGGUCAGGGGUGUGCUUGGCCCCUCUGCUUUCUCCCAGGCCCCAAGCUGCUGGCUGUCCCAGCUGCUCUUUGUCCAGACUGAGCCCCGGGGUUUAGCGGUAGGAUCGCUGCACAUUCCUCAGGUUUGGGGGUUACUUUUCAUCUGGCUCGUGAAGAUCUUGGUCUCGUCAUCCAAAGAACUUGGCUCCUUCAUGCACCACUCGACUCCAAACUGUCUCCCUCUCCUCAGGGUCAUAGUAGAGGAAGGUCCAUGAAGCCCAAGGCAGGAAAUGCAGGACCUCCUAGAGCAGCUCUGACCCCGCUGAGGGGGAAUACUGCUGAGAGCGAGCGCUGUCCUGAGCUGAGCAAGGAAGCCAGGGGAGGGGGAGUUUCGGAGGAGGCUCCAGGAUUAACUGAGUGAGGACCUAGUGAUGCACCUGUGGGGAAAGCAUGUGUAUCUGUGUGUGUGUGUGUGUGUGUGUGUGUGUGUAUGCCCACACACACGUGUGUUGUGUGACAGGAGAGACAGGGCACACAACAUAACACAAUGGGAGACAAUGACACAACAAACCUCCCUGUCCCUCACCCCCUGUGACAGUCAUAUUCCAAUCCCACACCCAUGGUGUCCCCAUAAAAUGCACAGAUUGUGUGUGAUUUCCUGCAAUGCAAACACUCUUUGGCAUAUCCAGAUUAAAACAAACAAACAAACAAAACCUGUGCUACUUUUAUCAAAACUCACUGGUGUCUUGCUCUUCCCAGCCGUGUAAAGAUGACAUGCAGAUCACACCCCAUAGCUGUGUGAGAACUGAACAUUUGAACCCAUGCUGUCCGCGCUAAGUAUGCAACAGAAAUCAUCGGCCAUUGCCAAAAAGAACCGUUUGAAGAACAGUAUAAAUGAGCUGCAGGCAGGAACGUCCUGGGAACAGUAGAACUUUCUGUAAUAGUAAUGAUGGGUGUUAAGUUCAGCAAACAUGGAAAUGGUGUCAUCAGAAGCUCCUGCUGUCCUCUGAGCUGUGAAGCCAAGCAUCAAAUGUUUACACAGUGCACUUUCUGUUCACAGGAUUCUCUUGUUCACAGGCAUUACUCCUCCAGUAAAUGAUCAUCUGAGAUGGUUGCCAGAGAGGAGGGGUGGGGUCUUGGAACAUGCGGGAGGGGCAGUGGGGACACAGUCUUCCAGUUCCAGAAUGAAUAAGUGACGGAAAUAAAAGUCACAGCACGAGGAAGACAGAUGAUGAUACUGUCAUAGGGCUGCAUCGGGCAAAUGCGAGCUACACCUGUGAGGAAUAGAGUGUAACAUAUGAACUUGUCACAUCAUUACUUUGUACCCCUGAGACUAAUGGAAUAUUAUGUGUCAACUAUACCCCCAAUUUAAAUACUCUUAAAAAUUAUUUUCUUGGGGCGCCUGGGUGUUUCGGUGGGUUAAAGCCUCUGCCUUCAGCUCACGUCAUGAUCCCAGGGUCCUGGGAUUGAGUCCCAAGUCAGGCUUUCUGCUCAGUGGGGACACUGUUCCUCUUCUCUCUCUGCCUGCCUCUCUGCCUACUUGUGAUCUCCAUCUGUCAAAUAAAUAAAUAAAAUCUUUUUAAAAAAUUAUCUUCCCUACAAUUUCAUCUGUUUUAACAUUUUACAUUAAAUGAAUAUACACAGCGAAUUCUAAUAUUGGAUAUGAUAAUUGAUUAAAUGUAUAAUGUAUAUUUAACUUACACAAAGUAAGCUGCAAACAAUUAAAAAUAUAAAUAACUAAA